UUCAAUUAUUGUGUCUAAAUAUUAGACCAUUCUUGUCGUUGUAACUUUUACUGUGGAAUUGAGUACCUCUAUUAUGGGACUCAUGUGGUAGGGUGGAAGACGAACCCCUUUUUUCUUAGAAAUUCUAUGGCGAGGCGGAAUUGGACACUUUGGCGAUGUGGAAUCUAGACACUCUUUAAAGAGUUUUGUUCUGCAUUUAACGGCGGGCCGCGGUGGAAUUGAUCUUGUUAGUCGAUCAGUCGCAACACGGAUGACAGGAUUUAAAGAAAUUAAAAAAUUUGAAGAGUAAUGGAUACUUAUUGAGCAAAUUAAUUAUAGUUAUAUUAGAGGGUAAAAAAUCAAAAAUUGAAGAAAUGAACUAACCAUGAUAUAAAUGAGAGAAGCGAGUAUGAUUGUACGGUAGCGUCCAAGAAAAGAAUCAGCGACGAAAGCACCUAAGAGAGGAAGAAGUGAAGCUGUUCCAACCCAUACAUUUACAU